GACGGGUGAGUAAUGCCUAGGAAUCUGCCUGGUACUGGGGGAUAACGUUCGGAAACGGACGCUAAUACCGCAUACGUCCUACGGGAGAAAGCAGGGGACCUUCAGGCCUUGCGCUAUCAGAUGAGCCUAGGUCGGAUUAGCUAGUUGGUGGGGUAAUGGCUCACCAAGGCGACGAUCCGUAACUGGUCUGAGAGGAUGAUCAGUCACACUGGAACUGAGACACGGUCCAGACUCCUACGGGAGGCAGCAGUGGGGAAUAUUGGACAAUGGGCGAAAGCCUGAUCCAGCCAUGCCGCGUGUGUGAAGAAGGUCUUCGGAUUGUAAAGCACUUUAAGUUGGGAGGAAGGGCCAUUACCUAAUACUUGAUGGUUUUGACGUUACCGACAGAAUAAGCACCGGCUAACUCUGUGCCAGCAGCCGCGGUAAUACAGAGGGUGCAAGCGUUAAUCGGAAUUACUGGGCGUAAAGCGCGCGUAGGUGGUUUGUUAAGUUGGAUGUGAAAUCCCCGGGCUCAACCUGGGAACUGCAUUCAAAACUGACUGACUAGAGUAUGGUAGAGGGUGGUGGAAUUUCCUGUGUAGCGGUGAAAUGCGUAGAUAUAGGAAGGAACACCAGUGGCGAAGGCGACCACCUGGACUGAUACUGACACUGAGGUGCGAAAGCGUGCCGAGCAGACAGGAUUAGAUACCCUGGUAGUCCACGCCGU
rnacentral:rRNA from 1 species